rnacentral:tRNA from 3 species
GGCGGCAUAGCUCAGCUGGUUAGAGCAAACGGCUCAUACCCGUUGUGUCCCUGGUUCGAAUCCAGGUGCCGCCA